GUAGGGAGCAAGCGUUGUUCGGAAUUAUUGGGCGUAAAGAGCGCGUAGGCGGCCAGGUAAGUCUGGUGUGAAAUCCCACAGCUCAACUGUGGAACUGCAUUGGAAACUGCUUGGCUAGAGUGCGGGAGAGGAGAGUGGAAUUCCCAGUGUAGAGGUGAAAUUCGUAGAUAUUGGGAGGAACACCAGUGGCGAAGGCGGCUCUCUGGACCGCAACUGACGCUGAGGCGCGAAAGCUAGGGGAGCGAACGGGAUUAGAUACCCCGGUAGUCCUAGCCGUAAACGAUGGGCACUAGGUGUAGGAGGUAUCGACCCCUUCUGUGCCGUAGCUAACGCAUUAGGUGCCCCGCCUGGGGAGUACGGUCGCAAGACUA
rnacentral:rRNA from 1 species